rnacentral:rRNA from 1 species
GCUCCAAUAGCGUAUAUUAAUGUUGUUGUAGUUAAAAAGCUCGUAGUUGGAUCUCGGGUCCAGGCUUGCGGUUCUGCUCGUGCAGAUACUGCUCGUCCUGACCUACCUGCCGGUGUUCCCCUGGUGCCUUAACUGGGUGUCUCGGGUGGCCGGAACGUUUACUUUGAAAAAAUUAGAGUGUUCAAAGCAGGCAGUUCGCC